rnacentral:rRNA from 1 species
AUUGAACGCUGGCGGCAGGCCUAACACAUGCAAGUCGAACGAGUGGCGGACGGGUGAGUAAUGUCUGGGAAACUGCCUGAUGGCGGGGGAUAACUACUGGAAACGGUAGCUAAUACCGCAUACCAUCGGAUGUUCCCAGAUGGGAUUAGCUAGUAGGUGGGGUAAAGGCUCACCUAGGCGACGAUCCCUAGUUGGUCUGAGAGGAUGAAAGGGCACACUGGAACUGAGACACGGUCCAGAUUCCUAGGGGAGGCAGCAGUGGGGAAUAUUGAAGAAUGGGCGCAAGCCUGAUGCAGCCAUGCCGCGGGUGUGAAGAAGGCCUUCGGGUUGUAAAGCACUUUCGGCGGGGAGGCGUUACCCGCAGAAGAAGCACCGGCUAACUCCGUGCCAGCAGCCGCGGUAAUAC